rnacentral:snRNA from 1 species
GGCUUUGCGCAGUGGCAGUAUCGUAGCCAAUGAGGUUUAUCCGCGGCGUGAUUAUUUCUAAGUGAAAACUCUGUAGUACUCUAUGUAUUCUUAUUUUCAUUCUUACCACUGUAGCUUACA